GUGAGGAAUAUUGCGCAAUGGAGGCAACUCUGACGCAGCCAUGCCGCGUGCAGGAAGAAGGCGCUACGCGUUGUAAACUGCUUUUAACCGGGAAGAAACCCCAGGACGUGUCCUGGGUUGACGGUUCCGGAGGAAUAAGCACCGGCUAACUUCGUGCCAGCAGCCGCGGUAAUACGAAGGGUGCAAGCGUUAUCCGGAUUCCUUGGGUUUAAAGGGUGCGUAGGCGGAGCGUUAAGUCAGUGGUGAAAUCCUGCAGCUUAACUGUAGGCUUGCCAUUGAUACUGGCGCGCUUGAGUGCGCUUGAAGUGGGCGGAAUGUGCCGUGUAGCGGUGAAAUGCUUAGAUAUGGCACAGAACACCAAUUGCGAAGGCAGCUCACUAAGGCGAUACUGACGCUGAGGCACGAAAGCGUGGGGAGCGAACAGGAUUAGAAACCCUGGUAGUCC
rnacentral:rRNA from 1 species